CAAAGAGUAGUUUAAGUUAAAAUGCUGGUUUUGGGGGCCAGAGAUGGAAGUCUCUCUUUGA
rnacentral:tRNA from 14 species